GAUGAAGAACGCAGCGAAAUGCGAUAAGUAGUGUGAAUUGCAGAAUUUAGUGAAUCAUCGAAUCUUUGAACGCACAUUGCGCCCCUUGGUAUUCCAUGGGGCAUGCCUGUUCGAGCGUCAUUUGUACCUUCAAGCUCUGCUUGGUGUUGGGUGUUUGUCUCGCCUCUGCGUGUAGACUCGCCUCAAAACAAUUGGCAGCCGGCGUAUUGAUUUCGGAGCGCAGUACAUCUCGCGCUUUGCACUCAUAACGACGACGUCCAAAAGUACAUUUUUACACUCUUGACCUCGGAUCAGGUAGGGAUACCCGCUGAACUUAAGCAUAUCAAUAAGCGGAGGA
rnacentral:misc_RNA from 1 species